rnacentral:rRNA from 1 species
UACGUAGGGUGCAAGCGUUGUCCGGAAUCAUUGGGCGUAAAGAGCGUGUAGGCGGUCCGGUAAGUCCGCUGUGAAAGUCGGGGGCUCAACCCUCGAAUGCCGGUGGAUACUGUCGGGCUAGAGUGCGGAAGAGGCGAGUGGAAUUCCUGGUGUAGCGGUGAAAUGCGCAGAUAUCAGGAGGAACACCUAUUGCGAAGGCAGCUCGCUGGGACGUUACUGACGCUGAGACGCGAAAGCGUGGGGAGCAAACAGG